AACGAACGCUGGCGGCGUGCCUAACACAUGCAAGUCGAACGGGAUCCAGAGCUCGAUCUGGUGAGAGUGGCGCACGGGUGAGUAACGCGUAGAUAAUCUACCUGAUGAUCCGGGAUAACACUUCGAAAGGGGUGCUAAUACCGGAUAAGCCCACGGGGUCUUUGGACUCUGCGGGAAAAGGGGGGGACAUUCGGGCCUUCCGUCAUCAGAUGAGUCUGCGUACCAUGAGCUAGUUGGUAGGGUAAAGGCCUAGCAAGGCGACGAUGGUUAGCUGGUCUGAGAGGAUGAUCAGCCACACUGGAACUGAGACACGGUCCAGACUCCUACGGGAGGCAGCAGUGGGGAAUUUUGCGCAAUGGGGGAAACCCUGACGCAGCAACGCCGCGUGAGUGAUGAAGGCCCUUGGGUCGUAAAGCUCUGACAGAGGGAAAGAAGUGCAGGGGAGCUAAUAUCUCUCUUGCUCGACGGUACCCUCAAAGGAAGCACCGGCUAACUCCGUGCCAGCCGCCGCCGUAAGAC
rnacentral:rRNA from 1 species